GCCUGUUUAUCAAAAACAUGGCUCCUUGAAAAACCUAUAUGGGGAGUCAGACCUGCCCAGUGAAAUUUUUUAACGGCCGCGGUACUCUGACCGUGCAAAGGUAGCAUAAUCAUUUGCCUUAUAAUUAAAGGCUAGUAUGAAUGGUUUGACAAGAAUAAAGCUGUCUCUUUAUAACUAAGUAGAAUUUAAUUUUUAGGUGAAGAAGCCUAAGUAGUAUUAAAAGACAAGAAGACCCUAUCGAGCUUAAAAAAAUUGAAAAGGAUUUAAUUAAUAUUUAUAAAAAAAUUAACUAUUAAAAAUUUUAGUUGGGGCGACUAAGGAAUAAAUAAAGCUUCCUUUAUAAACCAUACAAGCACACAAGUCUUGACCCAAAAAAUUUUGAUUAAAGAAAUUAGUUACCGUAGGGAUAACAGCAUUAUCUUUUUUGAGAGUUCUUAUCGAAAAAAAGGUUUGUGACCUCGAUGUUGGACCAGAAUAUCCUAAAGAUGCAGCAGUCUUUAAGGGUUGGUCUGUUCGACCAUUAAAAUUCUACGUGAUCUGAGUUCA
rnacentral:rRNA from 1 species